rnacentral:rRNA from 1 species
AUGCCGCGGCUCCUCCUGCUUCUCUUCCUUUGCGUCUCGGUGUUGGCCGCUGCACCUGCACAGGCCUAUCAAGACAAGUGCGACAUCAAAGCCGCCGUUGGCAACGAUUCAGACACCGGCAAAAAUGAGGCGCCCGGGAUCGACGAUCUGUUCUAUGUUAUGGACAUCGACAUCGAGCUCGAGCAGGCCACCGGCUUGGAAUUGGGUUUGUCUCAGGGUGAUGCUAUCGAAAUGGACCAACCUAUUCCUAGUACCAGCGCCGCCUUCCAAUCACCGGAUUUAAUCAACUGCCGGGCGAUCAACUGGACGAUUGAGGAGCGCCGUCGUGCUUGCCUGGCCCGCAUUGUCAGUCAUGUUUACUCCAGGGAGAAGAAAGCUAUCCCCCUAAGUCCCGACACAGGCUUCCGCCUCCACGGGGAGCCGCUCGAGGACGGCGACUACGUCUAUGCUGCCAUCUACGAGUACGUGGGCCAAGGCCGUGAGGACAAGUCCGCUCCGCACUUGAUCGUCGCCUUCCGAGGCACCGACCUGUGCUGGAAACGGAGGGCGGCGAGGGACGUCUGGUUCAACUGCCUAAUCACUUAG